rnacentral:lncRNA from 1 species
AAACAUUCUCCUCCUAAGGACACAACUUUUUCUGUUUCUCUUCUUUCUUUCCACAAUCAUUCCAAUCCCAAACCCAAGUAAGAAUCCCGACCUAGUCCUAUCUGAUUUGAAAGUGAAAAUCAGAACUACUCAAGAUUUUAAUCCUGUCGGCUCAUACCUAACACGUUCUCCCCAAGCAUAAUCCGGUAAAAGACCUACCACUCAAAAAUUUAUCAAUUGGCUUGAAAGAAAAGGAUAGGCUGUGGGUGUGGCAAACUGACCAAAAGAAAGAUCAGCUACUUGGAUCAACAAGAGUGGUGAAAGGAGGAAGAUGAUCCAAAUAUGUAUAUGGUGACCAUGAGCAUGCAAGCAAAACACAACCAGAUAUUUGCAAGUCAAGAUUAAGUUCUUAUAGGGUAAGGAAUGAGAUCAUAUCACAACAUGUUUCAACCAAGUUCAAGAAUGCUCUUCAUGAAUUCCAAGUUUGUUUCAGACUUACUUCAAGUUCAAUCAUCAUGCAUCAAAAAGCUAACAACCAGGGCAUUGAUCUCAACUGGUGAAUCAUAGCAAAUCAACAAGGUGUAACUCAUCAUCGCCCCCUAUGCUAAUGCAACAGUCCUACAUGAAACAAUCUAGACUCAAUCCUAAUAUUCAAAUGCAAGCUACAUGAUCACUCUGUUUUUAAAGAUUUUUUCUGAAAAUUUUUCAAAUUUUUAGGGGUUUUCAAUGCACAUAUAUGAAUGCAAAUUAUAUACUAAAAAUUCAAAAUAAGAAAAGAGAACACAACAUCAAAUGUCAUCCCAAACCCUCC